rnacentral:rRNA from 1 species
CCUACGGGUGGCUGCAGUGAGGAAUAUUGGUCAAUGGGCGCAGGCCUGAACCAGCCAAGUCGCGUGAGGGAAGACUGCCCUAUGGGUUGUAAACCUCUUUUAUAAGGGAAUAAAACGAGGCACGUGUGCCUUUUUGCAUGUACUUUAUGAAUAAGGAUCGGCUAACUCCGUGCCAGCAGCCGCGGUAAUACGGAGGAUCCGAGCGUUAUCCGGAUUUAUUGGGUUUAAAGGGAGCGUAGAUGGGUUGUUAAGUCAGUUGUGAAAGUUUGCGGCUCAACCGUAAAAUUGCAAUUGAUACUGGCAGUCUUGAGUACAGUUGAGGUAGGCGGAAUUCGUGGUGUAGCGGUGAAAUGCUUAGAUAUCACGAAGAACCCCGAUUGCGAAGGCAGCUUACUAAACUGUGACUGACAUUGAUGCUCGAAAGUGUGGGUAUCAAACAGGAUUAGAUACCCUGGUAGUC